rnacentral:rRNA from 1 species
GACGAACGCUGGCGGCGUGCUUAACACAUGCAAGUCGAACGGAAAGGCCCUGCUUUUGUUGGUUGCUCGAGUGGCGAACGGGUGAGUAACACGUGAGUAACCUGCCCUUGACUUUGGGAUAACUUCAGGAAACUGGGGCUAAUACCGGAUAGGAGCUCCUGCUGCAUGGUGGGGGUUGGAAAGUUUCGGCGGUUGGGGCUGGACUCGCGGCUUAUCCGCUUGUUGGUGGGGUAGUGGCUUACCAGGGCUUUGACGGGUAGCCUGCCUGGGAGGGUGACCGGCGACAAUGGGACUGAGGUACGGCCCAGACUGCUACGGGCGGCAGCAGUGGGGAAUAUGGCACAGUGGGCGGAAGCGAGAUGCAGCAACGCCGCGUGCGGGAUGACGGGCUUCGGGUGGUAAACCGCUGUCGCAUGUGACGAAGCGUGAGUGACGGUAAUGGGUAAAGAAGCAACGGCUAACUACGUG